rnacentral:rRNA from 1 species
UACGUAGGGGGCUAGCGUUGUCCGGAAUCAUUGGGCGUAAAGCGCGUGUAGGCGGUCCGGUAAGUCCGCUGUGAAAGUCGGGGGCUCAACCCUCGGAUGCCGGUGGAUACUGUCGGGCUUGAGUACGGAAGAGGCGAGUGGAAUUCCUGGUGUAGCGGUGAAAUGCGCAGAUAUCGAGAGGAACACCUGCGGCGAAGGCGGGUUGCUGGGCCGACACUGACGCUGAUGCGCGAAAGCCAGGGGAGCGAACGGG